rnacentral:lncRNA from 1 species
GGGGUGAAUGCGUAAGUAAAACAGUAACUCAAUUGCUCAUAUAGCUUUCAAAGAAUGCAUGCUAAGUGUAAAUGACUCACAUUGUCUUGAAUAACUGAAGUCUUAAAAUCAUAAAUCAUGAAUGAUAAAGUGUACUGUAUAAAUCUUGUAAGUUAUAACACUUAGUUCUAAAAGCUAUAUCUUUACUCUUUUUAGUGCAAUAAGUAGGACAGAAGUCAAGUCUGUUUUCA